UACGUAGGGCGCAAGCGUUAUCCGGAAUUAUUGGGCGUAAAGAGCUCGUAGGCGGUUUGUCGCGUCUGCCGUGAAAGUCCGGGGCUUAACCCCGGAUCUGCGGUGGGUACGGGCAGACUAGAGUGCAGUAGGGGAGACUGGAAUUCCUGGUGUAGCGGUGAAAUGUGCAGAUAUCAGGAGGAACACCGAUGGCGAAGGCAGGUCUCUGGGCUGUAACUGACGCUGAGGAGCGAAAGCAUGGGGAGCGAACAGG
rnacentral:rRNA from 1 species